rnacentral:rRNA from 1 species
ACGUAGGUGACAAGCGUUAUCCGGAAUUACUGGGCGUAAAGCGCACGCAGGCGGCUGAUUAAGUCUGACGUGAAAUCUCCUGGCUUAACUGGGAGGGGUCGUUGGAAACUGGUCGGCUUGAGGCAGUGAGAGGGGUGUGGAAUUCCCGGUGUAGUGGUGGAAUGCGUAGAUAUCGGGAGGAACACCAGUGGCGAAAGCGGCGCCCUGGCACUGGACUGACGCUAAGACGCGACAGCACGGGGAGCGAACGG